rnacentral:tRNA from 1 species
GGCGGCAUAGCCAAGUGGUAAGGCACGGGACUGCAACUCCCUUACCCCCAGUUCAAAUCUGGGUGCCGCCUCCA